rnacentral:snRNA from 1 species
UGCCAAGGGUGAUCUGACUGUGACAUCUGUCACUCCAUUGACUGCCAGGGCUGAUUUGGCUGUUUUGGCUGGCUGGGCAGGUAUCCCUUUCCUCCUUCACCACUCAAUGCAUGUCUCUGCUGAAGCUCUGCGCUUGGUUAAGGAAGAUGAUGAUCUCUGAUAGAGGAGGAUCGUUCUUUGGUCAAGGGUAUAUGAGUAGCUGCACCCCCUUGCUAGAACCUCCAAACAAGCUCUCAUCAUGUCCUUAAUGUUUUAGCCUAGUGGUUCAACUACUCUUGCCACUACAUGCAAGGUGAAUGAUUUGUGAGCUCAACAUGCUCCUU